rnacentral:tRNA from 1 species
GGGUGCAUGGCCCACAUGGUAGAGCACCUGCCUAGUAAGCAUGGGGCUCUGAGUUCAAAUCUCAGUCACACA